GACAAAGCCGCCGCUGCCGCCGCCGGGGGUGGGAGCCGCGCUCGCCCGCCCGCCCCUCGACUCGCGAGGGCGUAAAAGUUUGUCUCAGCUCGAGCAUUCCUAGCGCCAACACGCCCUCAGGUAAAGGUGGAAGUAAAUGGCCACGCUGUAUUGACAGAGGUAGAUGAAACUCAAGAGAAAAGGUGUGGAUAAAUGAAACUAGCCCAUGAUGAACCUGUUUUCUCCGUGACCACAAUAUUAACCAGGAUGAAUGGCGGUGGCAGUGGGCCUGCAUCACAGGUUGCAGCAGAUGUUCUCAAUAUUUCUAUUAAAAUUUCCUUAUUUCCAUAUGCAAGAGGAGCCCCAGAGCUGCAUCCUUAUGGUAGCUACCAUGCCGUGAUGUAAGCUGCCAUUCACUGGGGAGCUUUGGCAAUAGAAUUGGCUAGAUCAGGAAGCCUAUGUCAACUAUGGAACAACAACUUGCAGCUCAUCUCUAUUGAUGAUGGAAUCUCGCUAUGUCACCAGGCUGGAGUGCAGUGGCGCAACCUCGGCUCAGCGCAACAUCCGCCUCCCGGGUUCAAGUGAUUCUCCUACCUCAGCCUCCUGAGUAGCUGGGAUUACAGGAAUCUAAUGACCAUUGAACUGUGGCCAUGACUUCAAUUACAAGUAUUUUCUUCACUAAUGUCAGACUGUGGGCCUUUGUAUAUACACUUUUAACAAACUUUUUGGAAGUGCAAUACAUAUCGCAACAACUUCUCAAUGCUGAAUCAUAGUAUUGGAAGACAUUUUAAGCAACAAUUAAACUCAACUUAUUUACUACCAAUAAUGUACAUAAGUCAGCUGAAGUGAGGAUAACAUGAAUAGCACAAAUACAUUAUGAUUGCUGCCUGGCCAACAGUAAUUAUAAGAAACUGUCAGUUUUGAGAUGUGUCUUGAUUUCAGAGAUGUUAAAAAAGUUUGUAAGUUACCAUUGAUAAAAUAUGAGUUUGCUUCCACAAAUAUUCUUUCUUCUGUCCUUCUGGAACUCAAGAGUAAACAUAUAUUAGAUUUUCUCACCAUUUCAUGCAUGCUGGUUCCUAGGCUACUCUCUGAGUCAUUUUUUUUUUCUUAUCUGCCCUCCAGUUCACUAGUUCUGUCAUUUUCUGGGUCUGAUCUGCUGCAAAUGCAAUACAUUGAGUUUUAAAUUUCAGUCAUUGUGUUUUCAUUUCUAGAAAUUUCAUUUGACUCUUUCUCAAAUUACUUUUCCAUUUUUUUUGUAGUUUCCUAUCCCUGGAGAUAUUUUCAAUCAUGCCAUUUAAUUUUUUAAAUACGCAAGUGUAGUUUUAUAAUUUGUGUCUGAUAAUUCUAAUAUCUGAAGUCUUAGUAGGUCUGUUUCAGUUGUCCUGUAAUUAUGCAUGUUUUUGCCCAUGUUGCUUUGUUUCCUUGUAUGCUUGGUUAUCUUUCUUACUGCCCUUGCAAAAUUAUUUGGAGAGUCCUGGAGGCUUAAAUGAAGAUAACUUUUAGGAAUAAUUUGCAUUUGCUUUUGCCGAGGAUCUUGGGAUCAUUUCAACCAAAAUCUUAGCUUGAAAUUCCGCAAUCAAUCAAGGUGAUGAGAACCUGGUCAGUAAAUCCUAAUGAGGGCCAGGCUGUGGCCAAAGAUUUUUAGACAGAUGUUUCCCUCCUUUGCCAUUUCUCUUUUCUUUCCUCCUCUGCUCCUCUUAGUGUCCAGACAACCUUCAUGGAAGUCCUUGGGGUGGGUGGGAAAUGAGGACGGCAGGUUUCAUUCUAGGUAUAGCCCUUUGAGGUCUAACUUAAUGCAGAGAGAGUUUUCUGGUCUAUGUGCCACCUUACAUGGGAUCUUGAGCCUUGAUUUCUAAACCCCUUGCCUUUGAUGUUUCAGAAUUGAAGCUUAAAUUUGCCAACAGGCAAAUGUCCUCAAGGCAAAUUGGCUUAGGUGUUCGAUAUUCUUCUUACCAGAAAGGUAAACUUGGGUUUUUUACUUCACCCAGGAUUUGGCAUGACAGUUCCCCAUUAUCUUGUCAGCUUAGUGCUUUAAGUGAUUGCAUUUAAAAAAAUUCUGCAUUUUCAGUUUUUAGCAGGAGGAAUGGCCUCAACUAGUGGUUUUCAACUGGGGAUGAUUUUUUUCCCCUAGGGGACAUUUGAUAAUGUUUGGAGAUGUUUUAGUUGUUAGAACUGGGGUUGGGGGAACUACUGUCAUCUGGUGGGGAGAGACCGGCAAUGCUGUUGAUCUUACUAUAAUGCACAGGCCACCCCCAACAACAAACAAAUUACAUAGCCCCAAAUAUCAAUAAUGCCAAGGUCCAAAUAACCUAACCUUCCAUUACUGAAAAUAGAAGUUCAAGAAGAUAGUUUAUAAUUUAAAAAUUUUUAGGUCUUAAUAAGUUGUCAUACUUUCACAGGUUUUAUUUCAUACUAAGUAAUUUAUUUCAAAUUUUACAUUCCAAUUACAGAAAAUUUUCUAAGCCAGUUUUUGUUCUUCAUGAGUAUUACUAUCAAGGUCACAUUUUUCAUCUAGUAUGUUUUACCCUGGUACUUGUUGGCAGGGUCAGGACUAAGGUGAGAUGCGCAAGGCAUUUGCCUCACACAAAAUGCACAAUGAAUAAAAUGUCAAAACUUUAAAUAAAGACAGAAUCACUAAAAGUACUUUGCCAUAUUGGAACCUGAGG
rnacentral:lncRNA from 10 species